ensembl:lncRNA
CCCAUGCCUGUUUGAGUUACGAUUCUUGGAUUGCCCUUACCAGUGUUCUGUUUUGAGUAAUUUAUACUGGCCUUGCCUAGUGUCCCUGAGUUCUAUGACUGUCUAUCUCUGCUGGCUUACCUGUGUUAAUAAAAUACUGCAGAUGGAUCCGACCGCCUCAGCCUCUUCGUCACAGAAGACUUCACCAAAACAGGAUCCAGCAGAUUUCCAUCGACUGGCCUCUGAGGUAUCCUCUCAAGCUAAUGUGCUGGCCGCCCAUCAGCAACAGCUGGUCAAAUUAACAGCUCUCACCGAGGAGCUCAUGAGAUCUGUCCGAGCCCUAUCCUCGCCGAGCACGGCUGAGAAUCAAGCUCCGAGUCCAGCUGCACCUACUCCCGUUCCACCUGCUGGAUUUUUGUUGCAGUGCAGCUUGUAUUUUGACCAGCAGACACAGUCCUACUCCACUGAUGAGAGCCGCGUUUCCUUCAUAUGCUCCCUACUCACCGGCCGGGCUCUGGAAUGGGCUACUGCACUCUGGUAUGGAGACCCUCGCAGCUCAAGCUGGAUGGGAGGAGGAACCUCUUAAGCUCCUGUACCGCAAGGGACUCAACUCGGACCUCCAGGGAGAGCUGGCGUGCCGCGACGACAGUAAAUCCUUGAAUCAGAUUAUGGAGCUCGCCAUCCGCCUCGACAACUUGAUUCGCU